UAUACACCUGUCAGCAACAGUUUGGCUGAAAUUUCCAAAUCCACUAAUUUGAAUGGGUGUCCACAUACUUUUGUACAUAUAGUGUAUGUGUGUCAUGUGUGUUGAUCCCCUGUGCAGUCCCCCAGGCCCUGCGUCAUGAGGAUGUGUUUCUGACCUCUAAGCUGUGUAACACCCAACAUCACCCUGACUACGUAGAGACAGCCUGUAGUAAGAGUCUAAUACACCUGGGACUGGAAUACCUGGCCCUCUACCUCAUGUACUGGCCCACAGCCUUCCAGUGAGCAACAUACACCUAAUCACACCUCGAAUUUGUCCCACACAUGUUGGUCCUCUGAGCUGCCUGCGUGUUCUCCAGGCGUGGGACAGAGCUGAUGCCCAAGCGGGUCGUUGGCAGUGUGAGUUACGAUGACAUACGCUACUGGGAAACCUGGGUUGCCAUGGAGAACCUGGUUGAUAAGGGGAUGUUCCGAGGAAUCGGUCUGUCCAUCUUCAAUUAGGUAUGUGUGGUGUGUGUGUGUACAGUAUGUUUUUGUAAUGGUGUCUCACUCUGUGUGUUAGUAGGUGUCACCCAUGUCUGUCCCAGGCCAAGCUGCUGAGUCACUGCAGGUGGCAGGUACAGAGAGGGAUGGUCUGCAUCCCCAAGAGCGUUACUCCUUCCAGGAUCCUGCAGAAUCUGCAGGUGUUUGACUUCUCCUGUCGGAUGAAGACCUGAAGCAGAUCGAGUCGUUCAACAGAAACGAGAGGUACAUCAUCCCGGCUGUGGAGAGGGACAGAGAGUGGAGGGAUGCAGACCACCCUCAUUUCCCGACCUGAUCUACAGACAGAUCCACUGGCCACAUCUAGAGUCAGAUUUACUGGCCCCACAUCGAGAGUCAGCUCUACUGGCCCCACAUCUAGAGUCAGCUCUACUGGCCCCACAUCUAGAGUCAGCUCUGCUUACCCCUCCUGUCUCAGCCUCCAGUAUUUAUGCUGCAGUAGUUUGUGUCGGGACCUAGGGUCAGUCUGUUAUAUCUGGAGUACUUCUCCUGUC